UAAACUGCUUCGCUGAGCGCAGCUGGAUACGCCCGCAGAGGUCCAACCCUGAACAGUUGGGGCAAAAAUGGACACAAUAUUCAAACUUGAUACAGGUCUGAAUUUGGAUUGUAAUUAAAUAUUUGAAAUAUUAUAGUUUCUGAAUAAAUGUAGUCAAUGAACUUGAAAUCGGUUAUAUGAAUUGAAUUUAUAUUCAAUUAAAGAUUUCUUGCUGUUGUGCAAUACUUAAUAAAUCUGUUGCCAGACUAUAAACAAAUAAAGUUCAAUUUCUUCUCAAUGUCAUAUUUGAAAUUUAUGAAAAUCAAUAGGGAGAUUACAUCAAUAGCUAUAAAUAAUUCACCAAAGUUUCAUGUGAACUGCUUAAAGCAUUUUUGAGUUGUUGUCCAAAAACUGGAAAAUCCCCCCUUUUUUAAUGAAUAAAACCCCAUAACUCAGAAAUGUAAAAUGUAAAAUUUAUAAAAUUCUAAAGGGAGCUUACGGAUUGAUAAUUUAGUCUUAGAUGCAAGAUUUUUUUGUCAGUUGUUAGUGGCUUUGAACUAGCUGUCAGUAACUGUGAGUACUCUCAGAUUUGUACUUAGUGUCUUUUUGUUGUUUGGAUGUACAACUACCCGACCACGUCCACUUGUAUUUGUAUUUAUCCAUCUGAUGAGUUUAGCCUCUUUCAACUGAUUUUUAUAGUUCUUUUUUAUAUUGUACUGUUACACCACUGUCCCAGGUUAGGGGGAGGGUUGGGAUCCCACUAACAUGUUUAAGCCAGCCACAUUCUGUAUGUACAUGUAUGUGCCUGUCCCAAGUCAGGAGCCUAUAAAAGUGUAAUUCAGUGGUUGUCGUUUGUUUAUGUGUUGCAUAUUUGUUAUAUUUGUUCAUUUUUUUACAUAAAAUAGGCCGUUAGUUUUCUUGUUUGAAUUGUUUUACAUUGUCAUUUCUGGGCCUUUUAUAGCUGACUGUGCGGUAUGGGCUUUGCUCAUUGUUGAAGGCCGUACUGUGACCUAUAGCUGUUAAUUUCUGUGUCAUUUGGUCUCUUGUGCAUGUGUGGAGAGUUGUCUCAUUGGCAAUCAUACCACAUCUUCUUUUUUAUAUUUACAUCAACAGAUAUAAAAAAUUCACCAAAGUCAAGGUGAGACAACAAAACUUAGUUGUAAGAUCUCUGAAAUUUUUUACAGGGUACGAGUUUUUCUCAUUGUUGGAGAUUGUAUGGUGACAGUAACACCUGUAACUGCUUAAACCCAUUUCUUAUGCACUUUAGUUUGAUAAACUCACUGAAUAUCAUACCACAUCUCCUUAUUUUUAUAUGCAUUACAAUUUACAUGUGCAUGUAAUUGUAAAUAUAUAUAUAUCAGAACAAAAUUCAUUGCGUCACUUUUAUUUAUGCAUCCUUUGGCACAAUACAAGUUCUAAAAUUACACAACAUAAAACAACUAAAUGUUAUUUCAGAUGAAAGUUUUGUUUCAGUUCCAUUCAUAGGAUUUAUUAGAAUUUUGUAUGUUUUGCCAAGUCCAAAAAUUCGCUCUAUGUGACAUAGAGACAUAGUUGACUAAACCACCAGGUGUCGAACAUUCAAGAAUUUUCAGUGUUUCUGUUUUUAUUUGAUGAAAAGGUUGCCUGAGCUCUAGGAGCUUUAGGUUUUAUCACGGGAUAUUCUGUGCUGUCAUUAAUAAUCCAAGU